GGGAAAGGGGAGGAACAAAAGGUACUGUCUGCCUUCACCCCGUCGGUUUCGUCUCCCGCGAAGGGGGAGGAGAAAGGGGAGGAGGGGAGGGACGCUCCAGCCUACAGUGAGGUAGGAACGACCCCGAACGGGGGGGAGGUGGGCACGGCCUGCCGGGCAACCAAUGGAAUCCGCUGACGGUGACAGCUCGGCCCGCUUCGCACACGGACGUAGCCGGCAGCGUGAUAGCGCCGAGGCUGAGCAAGCGCAGUCGGCCCCCGCUGGGAACUAGGAGCAUGUUCAUCUUCUUCUGAAAUAAGCAGAUCCACGCGUGUGCUUGUGAGGGCUGUAAAUAAAGACAUUGGAAAGUCA